rnacentral:rRNA from 1 species
AUUGAACGCUGGCGGCAGGCCUAACACAUGCAAGUCGAACGGUAACAGGAAGAAGCUUGCUUCUUUGCUGACGAGUGGCGGACGGGUGAGUAAUGUCUGGGAAACUGCCUGAUGGAGGGGGAUAACUACUGGAAACGGUAGCUAAUACCGCAUAACGUCGCAAGACCAAAGAGGGGGACCUUCGGGCCUCUUGCCAUCGGAUGUGCCCAGAUGGGAUUAGCUAGUUGGUGGGGUAACGGCUCACCAAGGCGACGAUCCCUAGCUGGUCUGAUAGGAUGACCAGCCACACUGGAACUGAGACACGGUCCAGACUCCUACGGGAGGCAGCAGUGGGGAGUAUUGCACAAUGGGCGCAAGCCUGAUGCAGCCAUGCCGCGUGUAUGAAGAAGGCCUUCGGGUUGUAAAGUACUUUCAGCGGGGAGGAAGGGAGUAAAGUUAAUACCUUUGCUCAUUGACGUUACCCGCAGAAGAAGCACCGGCUAACUCCGUGCCAGCAGCCGCAGUAA